GGUGCAAAAUUCAAGACCUUUAUUUUCUAAGACCUAACACUGUUAAGUAUGCAUCCUAUCUUCUAAAAAGCAUUUGUAAGAUUUCAUUAUACCCUCCUGGUAUCUGCAGCAAGUUCAGGCCAACAAGUUACAUAAGGGCAGAAGUUCAUUGUUAUGUAAUUAAAUAUAAUGCUGUGAGAUGGAAAACUUGAAUGUGUGAGAAAACCUGCAAGCUACUAAAAUAUAUUGUAUUGCUACGUAGUUGACAAAUCAUACAAUUUAUGUACAGCAGCUUUGUUUUGAAGAACAAGGAAUGCUCAAUAGCUUGCAGUAACGGUUCUGGUUUGAUUUCUGGUGAAGGGGAAAUGUGUAAAUAAAGCUUCUCUUAAUUACACUUCAAAAUAUAUUUAUGUGUAUUUACAUAGUUUUAAAGCAGGUGGAUAUGUGUAUAAGGUAGUUUACUUGAUGGGUGAAAUACUGAGACAGUGGUUUUGAUACAGCGGUUUUGGAUAUAUUUUCAUUUUUUCCUAUCUGCUUAGUUUUGGGAUAGAUCUGACAUUAGGUUUAAUGCUUUGUAGUUUACCCCAUAGCUGAGGAUAUUUGCUGAUGGAGAAAAAUUAAUUCCCUUCCAUUGUGGCUGUACUAGCUUGUCAGUUGCAAGGCUGGUUAGGCUGUACAUUUUGAAAAACUGCUCUUGCUUGGGAUGCCUGAGAUGGCAGACUGCAUUAUAGAGCUUAGGGAAGUGUUUUGAUAACAUAAUGAAUGAGAAGGGACUCUAGGGCUUUACAGUGGAAAAAAUUUCCAGGGUUCUUAUUCAACAUGGUCAUGUCAGUCUUCAUGGGUGAUUUUGAAUUUCUGGAUGUCCAGUGAGAUCUCCCUCACUGAAAGGAAAAAAGUCACGAUUUUACAAGAAUUCCCUGAUCAGUCUAAGUACAGGACUACCUAUCAGUGCUGUGUUUCUUCUGGGUGCUUCAAUCACAUUUGCAGACCGCCUCUUUCAAUUUUUCUUUCAGGAAGCAUUCUGUGUCUUGCUUCUUGGCAGAGGCUGCAUGUUAUUUAACAGCCCUUUCAUCUUGUGCUACCUCACUGUUUCUGUGACAUCUGGCACUGUUCACCUUCUUCCAACUGCAUCAUUACUUACCUCUAAAAUUUCAAAGUGCAGAUUUGUAGUAGAUGCAAAAACAGAAAUAAGGUCAUAUUUACUUGUUACCUGCCUCAUGUAAUGCCAGCAUAACUUAAGCCUAUAUAGAACAGCUUCUCUUUGAAAAGUAUAGCAUUGAAUACAUGACACAGGUCUAAGGCACAUGGAUGUUGCUCCUGAACUCAGGAUGCUGCUCCUGAACUCAGCUGAAAUUUUGAAAUACUUAUUCAAUGCUUUCCUACCUGGUUGUCAGAACUAGGAAAAAUUUAGGUGACUCAGCUCUAAGUUCUGGCUUACAUUUGAGAAAGGUGCAUUCUUUGAAGCAACCUCACCAGUGCUAGGCUACUUACUGAGGACAAAAGGACUGGCACUUUCUUUAGCAGCCUCUUGCUUGUGUGCAUGUAAAGUGAAAAAUGGAUUUGGGCUACAGCAAGCUUUUACAGUUGGAAGGAGUGCAGUGAACAAGUGUCUGUUGUUUGGUAGUGGUAGAAGAGGAAAGUUACAGUGAGAAAUUGCAAGAACAGGAAACGAAACAAAAGCUUAAUGCAAUUCCAGGAAGUUUAAGGACAUAUAUCCUCUUGAAAACUUUAGCACUCAAGAAAGACAUCAUGUGGAUCUUGAAUGCACUCUGCAAGAUUUUGAAUCCAUAAAUGAAAUGUUAAUAUGAUAUCGUGAGCUAGAUAUAGUCCUGUUUCACUUAUUUCAUGGAAUUUAAAAAGGAAUCAGUUUUCAGUUUCUUCAAUCAGCUCACUUGCAUUGCAAAAGAUAAGUACCACUUAGCAUGACUGGACUCAAAAAUAGAUACUAAAAUAAUAACCUCAUAAUAAUGGUUUAAAUUCCUAACACUUGCAGUGAGAGGAACGGGUGCUUUCUCCCAACAAACUGAAACAGAAAUGAAAGCUGCCUGCAAAUGUAGCUUGUAGCCUUGAAAACACAAGAGUACUUAAGUAUCUUUGGUUCAUUUAGUAGCUUUCUCUUACUGAGUGAAGCAUAAAGUCUAAUUAGUUUGCCUUCUUGAAGGUGUGUAUUUGACUACCAUUUAGUAUGAGUGAAAGCAAAUAUAAUAAAUGAAUAGAACUGGAAGGAAUGAGGAUAUACCAAACAUAUGUGUACAUCUAUGCAUACAUAUGAAUGUCUAUAUAUAAAAAUGGUAUUGAUUAGUUCUUGCUAAGAGUUUGAUCAUUACAACUAUAAAUAUCCAGUAGAAACUUCUUGAGUGAUGUAUCAGUCUCUGGAACUUACCUGCUGCCUUUUCUUUUCCUGUUGAACUGCCAAUACUUUUACAUGAGUAAAAUAGCAUCAAACCUCAGCAUUUGAGAGCAAAUCUGAAGACCUUUUCAAAAAUUAAAAAUUUUGCAAACUUUAUCUUUCUGAUACACAGCAAGUCAUUCCAACUGACACUUCAGUGAAUGAACAUCUUUGUAUGCCAGAAGACUUUAAUAACCCUUUUGCAUUUCUAAAUCCUAUUAACACUGGCCCAAGUAAUGAAAAUGCUGCAUACUGGUUAAUGAAUGUUGUUUAUUAACUUGCUUAUAAAAUGGUUUAUUUGGGAAAAUACCUCUGAAUUUAUAAACCUCAGGUGUAAUAGCUGCCAUAAGAAAGAUUUCCAAAAUAGUAUGCAAGUAGAUGUUGAAUUGCAAAAAGGGAAGAAAAACCAGUAAAGGGAAUAAAGCAAAUAGAUUUGGGAUUUUGGUUUUUUUGUUUGUUUCUCCCUGCCUCCAUCUUGCAGUAACCUAACAGACAUUUCAAAGGUAACUAAUUUAGGCCAGAUCUGGACACUUUCAACAGAUGCACUAAAGCAGGAAAAAAAAAGUAGAUAAAUUGGGGUUUUUUUGUGAAGAAAGAAGUAAAAAUGGACCAUGCUUUUAAUUGGCAAUAUUUUAUGGCUUAAGAAUUUGAGUUCUUGGAAAUGUCACAUAAGACUCACAGCACAGAAAGAGUGUAGAGAAAGACAGACGUUGUGCAGUUGGAGAGAGAGAGAGAGAGAGAGAGAAGCAAAGAGAGGGGAGAUGAAUAGAGAAAUAACUUAGAAAAGUCACUGUGGUACCUCAAAUUUUAAGGGGGUAUUUUAUCCUUUAUAAAGCUUAUUUUUUUGAUAUAUUAUAGUUAGCUGACUAGAUUUGGCAAGAGAAGUGGUUCUUGCUUUUUAAACUUUGCGAUUCCAAUUUACAUACAAACCAUUUUGUAAGUGUUGCUUACCAGUUGUAAUACAUAUUGCACUAGCUCUUGCAUUGUGUGGUGUGACUUCAUAGGAGAUUUCAAAGGUUUUGACAGACUGUUAUUAGCCUGGCCUGUGUUCAUUGUGUGUAAAUGUUGAUGAUUUUAACUGUCCUGUAGUUUUAUAAAUUAUUUUUACAUUUUCCAUGCUGCAUUAUGAAAGAUUUUACAGUGUUGAACAUCUAAUGAACUGUUGUUAGACACUUCUCAUUGAAUUUGCAUGCAUUCCUUUAAUGAGUACAGUUUGAUAGAAUUUAACUAGCCACUUGAAAAGACUGUUUUAAAACAUGUGAUAACUAAAUUCUGUGGGGAAUUAAUAAAACUUACAAAGACUGUGCAGUAGCUGUUUUGAUAGUAGUAGGAAACUGAACCAAAGAAUAUAGGUCAAGAAAGAGUGUGGUAGAACAGCUCUGAAUCGUGGGUCACAACAGGUUCUUUCCAGCUGUACAAGCUCCCGGGAACACUUCUCAGCCUAAGCUGAACUUGUAUUUAUUUAACUUUAUUGUGGUAUUUCUUCCUGCUUCUGAAUUUAUCAAUAAAAUCCUGGUUUUAUU